rnacentral:lncRNA from 1 species
CCUAUUUGCCAAGUUCAAAUUGCUAUUCAUUGUAAUAGGAAUGAUAAACAAGGCCGACCCUUAUAUAUAUAUAUUAAGUCGUGUAAUGGCCUAGCGCCCCAAAUUUUUGGGGGGCCCCAAAAUUUGGGUUCAAUACUAAUAUUAUGCACUAUUAAAAAAAAUUAUUUCCCUACUUUACCUCAAGAAGUCGACAGUAUAGACCAACAACAAAUUAAAAAAAAUAAAAAUCUAUUUCUAAAUGCAAACGGAAAAUGCAAUAUUCAAUGGCUCUCUCUUUUCUCUAGACUCUCAUUUCUCCAUUCGCUAUUCUCUUUUUUCUCUUCACUUUGUGCCUACAACUCUCCUCUCAAUCUCAC